UACGUAGGGAGCGAGCGUUAUCCGGAUUUAUUGGGUGUAAAGGGUACGUAGGCGGUAAUACAGGUCUGUGGUUUAAGCCCGAAGCUUAACUUCGGUUCGCCACAGAAACCGUUUUACUUGAGUAUGGUAGAGGCAAGUGGAAUUUCUAGUGUAGCGGUUAAAUGCGUAGAUAUUAGAAGGAACACCAGUGGCGAAGGCGACUUGCUGGGCCAUUACUGACGCUGAGGUACGAAAGCGUGGGGAGCAAAUA
rnacentral:rRNA from 1 species